rnacentral:rRNA from 1 species
UUAAGCGACUAAGCGUACACGGUGGAUGCCUAGGCAGUCAGAGGCGAUGAAGGGCGUGCUAAUCUGCGAAAAGCGUCGGUAAGCUGAUAUGAAGCGUUAUAACCGACGAUACCCGAAUGGGGAAACCCAGUGCAAUACGUUGCACUAUCGUUAGAUGAAUACAUAGUCUAACGAGGCGAACCGGGGGAACUGAAACAUCUAAGUACCCCGAGGAAAAGAAAUCAACCGAGAUUCCCCCAGUAGCGGCGAGCGAACGGGGAGGAGCCCAGAGUCUGAAUCAGUUUGUGUGUUAGUGGAAGCGUCUGGAAAGUCGCACGGUACAGGGUGAUAGUCCCGUACACCAAAAUGCACAGGCUGUGAACUCGAUGAGUAGGGCGGGACACGUGACAUCCUGUCUGAAUAUGGGGGACCAUCCUCCAAGGCUAAAUACUCCUGACUGACCGAUAGUGAACCAGUACCGUGAGGGAAAGGCGAAAAGAACCCCGGCGAGGGGAGUGAAAUAGAACCUGAAACCGUGUACGUACAAGCAGUGGGAGCACCUUCGUGGUGUGACUGCGUACCUUUUGUAUAAUGGGUCAGCGACUUAUAUUUUGUAGCAAGGUUAACCGAAUAGGGGAGCCGUAGGGAAACCGAGUCUUAACUGGGCGUCUAGUUGCAAGGUAUAGACCCGAAACCCGGUGAUCUAGCCAUGGGCAGGUUGAAGGUUGGGUAACACUAACUGGAGGACCGAACCGACUAAUGUUGAAAAAUUAGCGGAUGACUUGUGGCUGGGGGUGAAAGGCCAAUCAAACCGGGAGAUAGCUGGUUCUCCCCGAAAGCUAUUUAGGUAGCGCCUCGUGAACUCAUCUUCGGGGGUAGAGCACUGUUUCGGCUAGGGGGCCAUCCCGGCUUACCAAACCGAUGCAAACUCCGAAUACCGAAGAAUGUUAUCACGGGAGACACACGGCGGGUGCUAACGUCCGUCGUGAAGAGGGAAACAACCCAGACCGCCAGCUAAGGUCCCAAAGUCAUGGUUAAGUGGGAAACGAUGUGGGAAGGCACAGACAGCCAGGAUGUUGGCUUAGAAGCAGCCAUCAUUUAAAGAAAGCGUAAUAGCUCACUGGUCGAGUCGGCCUGCGCGGAAGAUGUAACGGGGCUAAACCAUGCACCGAAGCUGCGGCAGCGACACUUAGGUGUUGUUGGGUAGGGGAGCGUUCUGUAAGCCGUUGAAGGUGACCUGUGAGGGUUGCUGGAGGUAUCAGAAGUGCGAAUGCUGACAUAAGUAACGAUAAUGCGGGUGAAAAACCCGCACGCCGGAAGACCAAGGGUUCCUGUCCAACGUUAAUCGGGGCAGGGUGAGUCGACCCCUAAGGCGAGGCUGAAAAGCGUAGUCGAUGGGAAACAGGUUAAUAUUCCUGUACUUGGUGUUACUGCGAAGGGGGGACGGAGAAGGCUAGGCUGGCCGGGCGACGGUUGUCCCGGUUUAAGCGUGUAGGGGGAGUGACCAGGUAAAUCCGGUUGCUUAUCAACCCUGAGGCGUGAUGACGAUGCACCACGGUGCAGAAGCAGUUGAUGCCAUGCUUCCAGGAAAAGCCUCUAAGCAUCAGGUAACAUUAAAUCGUACCCCAAACCGACACAGGUGGUCAGGUAGAGAAUACUCAGGCGCUUGAGAGAACUCGGGUGAAGGAACUAGGCAAAAUGGUGCCGUAACUUCGGGAGAAGGCACGCUGGCGUUAGGUGAAAGGACUAGCUCCUGGAGCUGAAGCCAGUCGCAGAUACCAGCUGGCUGCAACUGUUUAAUAAAAACACAGCACUGUGCAAACACGAAAGUGGACGUAUACAGUGUGACGCCUGCCCGGUGCUGGAAGGUUAAUUGAUGGGGUCAGCCGCAAGGCGAAGCUCUUGAUCGAAGCCCCAGUAAACGGCGGCCGUAACUAUAACGGUCCUAAGGUAGCGAAAUUCCUUGUCGGGUAAGUUCCGACCUGCACGAAUGGCGUAAUGAUGGCCAGGCUGUCUCCACCCGAGACUCAGUGAAAUUGAACUCGCUGUGAAGAUGCAGUGUACCCGCGGCAAGACGGAAAGACCCCGUGAACCUUUACUAUAGCUUGACACUGAACAUUGAGCCUUGAUGUGUAGGAUAGGUGGGAGGCCUUGAAGUGUGGACGCCAGUCUGCAUGGAGCCAACCUUGAAAUACCACCCUUUAAUGUUUGAUGUUCUAACUCGGCCCCAUGAUCUGGGGUGAGGACAGUGUCUGGUGGGUAGUUUGACUGGGGCGGUCUCCUCCCAAAGAGUAACGGAGGAGCACGAAGGUUAGCUAAUCACGGUCGGACAUCGUGAGGUUAGUGCAAAGGCAUAAGCUAGCUUGACUGCGAGAGUGACGGCUCGAGCAGGUACGAAAGUAGGUCUUAGUGAUCCGGUGGUUCUGAAUGGAAGGGCCAUCGCUCAACGGAUAAAAGGUACUCCGGGGAUAACAGGCUGAUACCGCCCAAGAGUUCAUAUCGACGGCGGUGUUUGGCACCUCGAUGUCGGCUCAUCACAUCCUGGGGCUGAAGUAGGUCCCAAGGGUAUGGCUGUUCGCCAUUUAAAGUGGUACGCGAGCUGGGUUUAGAACGUCGUGAGACAGUUCGGUCCCUAUCUGCCGUGGGCGUUGGAAGAUUGAGAGGGGCUGCUCCUAGUACGAGAGGACCGGAGUGGACGAAUCACUGGUGUUCGGGUUGUCAUGCCAAUGGCAUUGCCCGGUAGCUAAAUUCGGAAGAGAUAACCGCUGAAAGCAUCUAAGCGGGAAACUUGCCUCGAGAUGAGUCUUCCCUGGGGCUUAAAGCCCCCUGAAGGAACGUUAAAGACUAUGACGUUGAUAGGCUGGGUGUGUAAGUGCAGCGAUGUAUUGAGCUAACCAGUACUAAUGAUCCGUGAGGCUUAACCUU